UUUUCGAUACCACCACAAUGGAACCUGAGGCUUCAAAUGCUCAAACAAUGGAUAAUAAUGCCAUCAAUCUCAUUUUGGCUCGCCUUGAAACUAUGUCCCGGGAUGUGGCUAGGUUGAAUGUGGGUCUUGAGAAAUUAGAUACGGAUGUGGAAUCAAUGAGUGGGAGAUUAGAAUGUGUGGAAAGCCAAAGGAGUUGACCUUCUACCCUUCAAAACAUUUCCCCAACUAAUACUCUCGAGACCUUGCACCAAAUGCAAUAUACACCAAUUGCCAUAAAUCAAACCAAUCUUUACUCCCGAAGCCGAGAACAAGAUAGACCAAGCCAUCCUCCACUUUACCAAGUCCAACAAGAAGGGCUUGGAACCCAAAUACCAUCACCAAACCCGAACCCUCCCAUCUAAACUCCACUUGACCAAAGACCUCACUAUCCAAAUCCAAUCCCGCCACUACAAGCUCCACUUGACCCAAA
rnacentral:lncRNA from 1 species